AACGCACCUUGCGCUCCUUGGUAUUCCGAGGAGCAUGCCUGUUUGAGUGUCAUUUUAUUCUCAAACCCAUCCAGCUUUGUCUGGUGUGGUGGUUUGGAUGUGGGGGUAUCAUGCGGGCCUCUUCAGAGGUCAGCUCCCCUGAAAUGCAUUAGCGGAACUGUUUGCGGGUCCCGCCUCUGGUGUGAUAACUAUCUAAACCAAGGCGACCGCUCUCUGUAGUUUUGCUUCUAAUAGUCCUUUAUGUUGGACAGCAAUACAUUGAACACUUGACCUCAAAUCAGGUAGGACUACCCGCUGAACUUAA
rnacentral:misc_RNA from 1 species